rnacentral:rRNA from 1 species
UACGUAGGUGGCAAGCGUUGUCCGGAUUUAUUGGGUUUAAAGGGUGCGUAGGCGGUUAUAUAAGUCAGUGCUGAAAUAUCCCGGCUUAACCGGGAGGGUGGCAUUGAUACUGUAUGACUUGAGUAAAGUUGAGGUUGGCGGAAUUGACGGUGUAGCGGUGAAAUGCUUAGAUAUCGUCAAGAACACCGAUAGUGAAGACAGCUAACUAAGCUUUAACAGACGCUGAGGCACGAAAGUGUGGGGAUCAAACAGG